rnacentral:rRNA from 1 species
UACGUAGGGGGCAAGCGUUGUCCGGAUUUAUUGGGCGUAAAGAGCUCGUAGGCGGUUCCGUAAGUCGUGAAGUCAAAUCUCUGGGCUCAACCCAGAAUCGCUUCCGAUACUGCGGUGACUGGAGUCCGGUAGGGGAGUGUGGAAUUCCUGGUGUAGCGGUGAAAUGCGCAGAUAUCAGGAGGAACACCAACAGCGAAGGCAGCACUCUGGGCCGGUACUGACGCUGAGGAGCGAAAGCGUGGGUAGCAAACAGG